ACUUUUGUUUGCUUCAGAAGAGAAAAACAGACAAGGGCGAUAAACAGACAUUCUUGUAUUGAAGAACAGCUCUUUGGAUUGUCUGACACCAAAACUGACUACUGUUACUUGAACACCACUCGGAGUGUCACCUUACAGUUAAUAUAUGAUAAUUACUCCUUCAAAGAAAUCUUCAUGGCGAUUCCUGUCAGCAGAUGGGGAACAGAGUAUCGAUUGAUGCUUUUCAAUAAUGGAAUCUGUACAUUGUUUUCUGAACAAGACACAACUGUCUAUGUGGACAGAGGUAAUCAGAGGAUCUCAUU
rnacentral:sRNA from 1 species